rnacentral:misc_RNA from 1 species
UACGUGGGGUGCAAGCGUUAUCCGGAUUUACUGGGCGUAAAGCGUACCGUCGGUGUUGUGUUAAGUCUUCUGUUUAAGCCUAGGGCUCAACUCUAGAAAAGCAGGCGAAACUAGCACGAUUGAGUAUGUUCGGGGAAGCUGGAAUUCUCGGUGGAGGGGUGAAAUCCGUAGAUAUCGAGAGGAACACCAGUCGCGUAGGCGAGCUUCUAGGACAUUACUGACACUCAGGGACGACAGCUCGGGGAGCAAAAGGG